GCCAGUUUGGCGUAAUGGUUAAGGCACCAGGCUAGAAACUGGGAGACGUGAGUUCUAGUCCCAUGUUAGGCA
rnacentral:tRNA from 1 species